GACGUAGGGUGCGAGCGUUGUCCGGAUUUAUUGGGCGUAAAGAGCUCGUAGGCGGCUCGUCGCGUCGACCGUGAAAACCCGCGGCUUAACUGCGGGCUUGCGGUUGAUACGGGCGGGCUAGAGUUCGGUAGGGGAGACUGGAAUUCCUGGUGUAGCGGUGGAAUGCGCAGAUAUCAGGAAGAACACCAACGGCGAAGGCAGCUCGCUGGGACGGUACUGACGCUGAGACGCGAAAGCGUGGGGAGCGAACAGG
rnacentral:rRNA from 1 species